GUAGUAGUGGGUGUAGCGUACCUACUAGCCUACGACGGGUACGGGUUGUGAGAGCAAGAGCCCGGAGAUGGAUUCUGAGACACGAAUCCAGGCCCUACGGGGUGCAGCAGGCGCGAAAACUUUACAAUGCUGGCAACAGCGAUAAGGGAACCUCGAGUGCCAGGUUACAAAUCUGGCUGUCGAGAUGCCUAAAAAGCAUUUCAUAGCAAGGGCCGGGCAAGACCGGUGCCAGCCGCCGCGGUAACACCGGCGGCUCGAGUGGUAACCGUUAUUAUUGGGUCUAAAGGGUCUGUAGCCGGCCGGAUAAGUCUCUUGAGAAAUCUGGCAACUUAACUGUCAGGCUUUCAGGAGAUACUGUCUGGCUCGAGGCCGGGAGAGGUGAGAGGUACUUCAGGGGUAGGGGUGAAAUCUUGUAAUCCUUGAAGGACCACCAGUGGCGAAGGCGUCUCACCAGAACGGACCUGACGGCAAGGGACGAAAGCUAGGGGCACGAACCGGAUUAGAUACCCGGGUAGUCCUAGCCGUAAACGAUACUCGCUAGGUGUCGGCCACGGUGCGACCGUUGUCGGUGCCGUAGGGAAGCCGUGAAGCGAGC
rnacentral:rRNA from 1 species